UACGGAGGGUGCAAGCGUUAUCCGGAUUCACUGGGUUUAAAGGGUGUGUAGGCGGGUUAUUAAGUCAGUGGUGAAAUCUCCGGGCUCAACCCGGAAACUGCCAUUGAUACUAUUAGCCUUGAAUUCUGUUGAGGUGGGCGGAAUAUGUCAUGUAGCGGUGAAAUGCAUAGAUAUGAACAUAGAACACCAAUUGCGAAGGCAGCUCACUAAACAGCGAUUGACGCUGAGGCACGAAAGCGUGGGGAUCAAACAGG
rnacentral:rRNA from 1 species